rnacentral:lncRNA from 1 species
UAUAAUUCCAGAGGCAGACACUUUAAAUAGUGCAACCCUAAAAGAUUGUUUAGGGGGUGCUCUCUGAGGAGUCUCUGAGAAUCUUGUAGAAGAUGUAUUUGCUCCCUGGUCUGGUUGUUCUGCACCUGGGGUUUACUGGGAAUCAGGCUGUGUGUCCUUUAAAUUUGUGGAGCACUCUAAGCUUUCUCUCCCUAGAAAAGUUAAUCUUCCCGCCUUGCCUGGCUACUUUUGCUGAGAAACCUAUUAUAUAAUCUUUGCUGCCCCCAGGAAGGGAAAUUAUUUCGGUGCUCCGUUUGGAUGUAAAUUUCCAGCCACAUGUGGAGAUCAAGAGGUUUAUCAUAGUUAGAUCCUAGCUUCGAAUUUUCGGAGGAAUAAUAGUUUCCUUUUCCUGUAAUUAUAUGAAGUUACUGAUUCUUACUCUCCUCGUCCUUCAACUGUAUGUUUUGAAUGUUUGCAUCUGCUAUUUUGAGAACUGUGUUGUAUUUUUACAGAUUGCAAAAGUUGCAAAUGUUCAUUGUGAGUAAGAAGGUGAAAGGACAGCUCUAUCACUUGAAGACAUUGUAUUGUUUGUCAAACUAAACAAAGCCUCCUUUUGGUUUCUUUCUUUUGAAACUGGGAGUAAAUAUGGUAAUCCACUUAAAUAGAGGAAAAUUUAAGAACUUUGAGAAUGUCUUCUCUAUGCAUAUGUAAUGCUGAUGCUGGGCUCUAGUGGAGAAGUUAAGGCAGACUUCUCCCAUACAACUAUUAUCCAUUUGAAAAGUCAGUUUCUUCCUUUCUUUUUGUUUAAAAUAAUCUAAGUAGUAUUAUAUGAGAAAACAAACUUUUCUGUAUGCUUUACUAAAUUUAUAGCAAAUUCUAUAUUUAAAAUAAUCUGAUCUCCAAAUUAGCUCCUUCAAAUUAUGCCUUGGCCAACAAAUACUACAUUAGAAAUUUUGAAAUUUCUACUUACUUAUUUCUUUUACAGGAUUGUAUGACUGUGAUUUGGGGGCAUUUCUUCCUGCUUUAGAGGCUUUACACAAGAAUGGAAAAGAAACAUUAAUUUGGGGUGUAAUUGUCUAAAAGCAAUAGAGAAAUUAAAAUAAUAAGUGCAAAAGAGCCAUAUAGCUCUAAAGAUCCCUGAUGCUUUUUUUUUCUUUUACAGUACUUGUAUUAAGGUAAAGUAUUUAUGCAUCAAAAUUGGCCUUCACUUUUCCUUGUAAUAAUAAAGAACUUCAAUACUGG